rnacentral:rRNA from 1 species
GUGAGGAAUAUUGCGCAAUGGAGGCAACUCUGACGCAGCCAUGCCGCGUGCAGGAAGAAGGCGCUACGCGUUGUAAACUGCUUUUAACCGGGAAGAAACCCCAGGACGUGUCCUGGGUUGACGGUACCGGAGGAAUAAGCACCGGCUAACUUCGUGCCAGCAGCCGCGGUAAUACGAAGGGUGCAAGCGUUAUCCGGAUUCAUUGGGUUUAAAGGGUGCGUAGGCGGAUCUUUAAGUCAGUGGUGAAAUCCUGCAGCUUAACUGUAGACUUGCCAUUGAUACUGGCGCUCUUGAGUGCGCUUGAAGUGGGCGGAAUGUGCCGUGUAGCGGUGAAAUGCUUAGAUAUGGCACAGAACACCAAUUGCGAAGGCAGCUCACUAAGGCGAUACUGACGCUGAGGCACGAAAGCGUGGGGAUCGAACAGGAUUAGAUACCCCUGUAGUCC